AUAUUGCACGUGUCGUGCGGGUGAGAACCUGCGCUCAGGUUCGAGUCGAGCGUAGCGAGACAACAACGCGCAGCGUUGGCCCGAAGGGCGAGGCCAUAGGCCGAGUGCAUCCUGCACGACCCACCA
rnacentral:sRNA from 2 species